AGCAAAAAAGCCCUUUCUUCUUUACUCAGAAAAAGCAAAUGCGUGACCUAACGAACCUCAACGUCAAGUGACAUUAUCAUUGCUCUUCUCUUCUUCACCUUUGAGUUUCUCGAGGGUCCUUUUUUUUUUUCAAUUUUACUGCUAAAUAGUGGUUACUGUCUUCAGCCGCCGUCGCCGGAUUUCAUCAUCGAAGGCGACGGAAGCAGUUUUCUAGGGUUUAUCCAACGAAGCUCCGUUUGAUUGUCAUCGGUUCCGUUUUUAUUCGUCGAUCUUCCAUUUUCGCAUUGUUGUUUUCUACAUCCGAAGAUGGGAAGCAGUCCAGCUCCAUUUGCCGAUAUUGGCAAGAAAGCUAAAGAUCUCCUGAAUAAGGAUUACAUUUUUGACCACAAGUUUACUCUCACAAUGCUGAGUGCUACAGGAACGGUAAGUACGAUAUCACUUGGAUCCUUUUACUUUAAUAGACUAUGCUCAACAUACCAGGGAAGUGCUUAUGAACUGUGGUAUUACAUGCUUUUUGAACCAAAAUUAUUGCAGUAAGCAUGCUCUUUGAUAUCUAUAGAUCCAGUUAAUGUACAUUACUU